UACGUAGGGUGCGAGCGUUGUCCGGAAUUAUUGGGCGUAAAGAGCUCGUAGGCGGCCUGUCGCGUCGGGAUGUGAAAGCCCGGGGCUUAACCCCGGGUCUGCAUUCGAUACGGGCAGGCUAGAGUGUGGUAGGGGAGAUCGGAAUUCCUGGUGUAGCGGUGAAAUGCGCAGAUAUCAGGAGGAACACCGGUGGCGAAGGCGGAUCUCUGGGCCAUUACUGACGCUGAGGAGCGAAAGCGUGGGGAGCGAACAGG
rnacentral:rRNA from 1 species